UCAGGGUCUCCGCUGGCAGUGCUGUGCUUUAGUUUGCCUGUGGACUUUGCGUUCGGCAGUCAGCCGGGACGGGUCUCAGGCCACCUCCACACCCGUGAGCACAUCCUCACUCCACGCUUCCUGUCACCUUUAGGGAAAAACGGACAGCGUCUCCGGGCCAGUAAAAGCAGUGCCUGGGAGACUUCUAGGAGAGCGUUUCUCUCAGCAGAGCGAACGCCCGGGUCGCCUCCCCCACGCGGGGUCAGCGAGCAGGUACGGGCCACACGAAGCGUUGGCAGGUGGUGGUCCGGAGGUCACGGAUCUGCGGCCGCUGCUUGGUUUCAAAUGCUCUGCUGUUGGCGGGAACCGGUGCACUAGCUGACACACCUGCGGUGGCGCCACCUCGGGGACGUGAAGAAUCACCUGAAUGGGAUGAGUUAGUUUCUGGCAGGCAAAAGCUCGCCAAAGUAGCGUCCCGGUCCUUCAGUGUCACCCAACCCACCGAGUGCCCAGUGUGAGGCUCUAAAAGAGAUGAAAAAGUGAGAAAGGCGUCUCCUUGGUGCUCAAAACUCUCACCCUCCGGGGAUUCAGACCCACAGAGAACAGAUAAUCCUCAUUAUGCUUGCUAGGGAACGUGCUCCCCUUUGUGAGUGAGCAAUAGGAGCUGAUCUGAGAUAAUCUUGUUUAGAACCCUCUGUGCGUUGCUCACACCUCUGGUCUUAAGAUUCGGAAGGGUGGCAGAAGCUGAAAGAUUUGAGUUCCAGGCUGGUCUGAGAGGACAUUUCCUGAGAGGAUUAACUGAAGAGAGUACCUUCCUCCAGCAGCUGAGAUGUAAAAUGAUCUGAGAGGAAAGCAGGACUGUGCUCAUCUUUGCUUCCUGUUGGUGUACCUAUAGUGUACUUCUCCUGUUACUGCUGCCAUCCCUAAUUGACACAGGAUAUUUCCAACCCUCUAAUGUGGAUGAAAGGCCUGCAGCUCUCCAAGAAUCCUGUACACAAUCAGCACCAUGUUGGUAUUGCUGAAGCACCCAGCCUGCUACACUGAACAGCUAACCAGUUUUUCAGUCAUCCCAGUGUACUGACAGCCAUUUCUAGACUUCUUUAAUGCUAAAGGGUUGUAGAACUUUCCCACAAGCUCCUGCCAAGUUAAAGAGAACCCAGCUCCAAAGCAUGCCACUAAGGGCCUAGCUCUCAGAAUUUUUGGAGGGAGCCUCACCAAGUUCCCUAUGAAAGACAAAAGCAGGUUCAGUUACAGUAGCAGCCCCAGUAUGAAUUACCUAGUACUUAACAUAUAAACAAAUCUAAUAAAUUCCUUUUCUUAGUAUUAUAAUCAUCAGUUCAGAGAGUUGUAAAAUAUCUAAAAUAUCUUUCGUUUUCCUGUAGUAAUUGUCUCCAAGGCUUACUGCCUGUCUGCUAACCUAGGCCUAGUCCUGGAAGCUUCUAACCUCCAUACAAUCUUUUUUUUUCCCCCUCCAUAUAUUCUUAACUGGGUCUAGAAUGUUUUUAGCCUCUGAGGUUUACUGUUUAUUAAGUUCAUCAUUUCUUACUCUUUCUGGACUGGCUCAAACUCCUCUCCAAGCUGAGUCUGGC
ensembl:lncRNA